UGUCGAUUCAGGCAAUUCGAAUUCCAGGACACCCUUAUCGGUGUAUAAAUGAGUGUCUGCACCAAACAACUCCGAAAGAGAGGUAAAUUGUGUACUAGAGACUACGGUUUCCUUUUCUUUAUCGUCGAAGAAAUUCACAAUGAUAGGGUCCUCAAAUUUGGGAAUACUCCAGGGGUGAUCUCUAUCUGCUGUAUCACAUGCAAAAGGAUUUCCAUUUCUCUUGCAAGAAGUUAAAUGAGACGGGGCUUCGUCCGGAUCAUCUUUCAGAGGUGAAGCUCUAUUUUCAAGUUUGUUACUUCUUGAAAUAUCUUCGAUAAAUACAGAGUCAUCAAGUUCCUGGACAUUCCAGAAUUCGUUCUUCUCUUUUUCACACGCCAAAGAGUCUUUAGUGCUGUCACGACCGUUUGAAUCAAGCAGAUCUUUCGUUGGCAAGACUAAAGACUUGGAGUCCUUGCAACCAUUUGAGUGAGUUAACAUUUCAUCCGGAUUUUCUGUCAUUGUAGCCUUCUUUUUAGCGUGUUAAGUCAAAGCUUUCAAGUAGUACAUCAGUGGAUCAAAUCUUGAGAAACACACAGACGAAGUGAGGUAGAUACAGCUCAGAAACCGG
rnacentral:misc_RNA from 1 species